UACGUAGGAGGCGAGCGUUGUCCGGAAUUACUGGGCGUAAAGGGCGCGUAGGCGGAUGGCACAGUCAGAUGUGAAAUUCCCGGGCUUAACCUGGGGGCUGCAUUUGAUACGUGUUGUCUUGAGUUCGGAAGAGGGUCGUGGAAUUCCCAGUGUAGAGGUGAAAUUCGUAGAUAUUGGGAAGAACACCGGUGGCGAAGGCGGCGACCUGGUCCGACACUGACGCUGAGGCGCGAAAGCGUGGGGAGCAAACAGG
rnacentral:rRNA from 1 species